AGAGUUGAUCAUCGGCUCAGGAUGAACGCGUGGCGGCGUGCCUAAUACAUGCAAGUCGAACGAGCGAAGUCCAGCUUGCUGGAUGGAGCCAGUGGCGAACGGGUGAGUAAUACGUAAGCAACCUGCCUACACGGACUGGGAUAACACCUGGAAACGGGCGCUAAUACCGGAUAGGUAACGGAAGGGCAUCCUUCUGUUAUUAAAGGUUUGAAACACAAGUAGAUGGGCUUACGGUGCAUUAGCUAGUUGGUGAGGUAACGGCCCACCAAGGCGAUGAUGCAUAGCCGGCCUGAGAGGGUGAACGGCCACAUUGGGACUGAGACACGGCCCAGACUCCUACGGGAGGCAGCAGUAGGGAAUUUUCGGCAAUGGGCGCAAGCCUGACCGAGCAACGCCGCGUGAGUGAUGAAGGUUUUCGGAUCGUAAAGCUCUGUUGUAAGGGAAGAAUGGCGCGGAUAGACUCCGCGAUUGACGGUACCUUACCAGAAAGCCACGGCUAACUACGUGCCAGCCGCGGC
rnacentral:rRNA from 1 species